AGAGUUUGAUCAUGGCUCAGGAUGAACGCUGGCGGCGUGCCUAAUACAUGCAAGUCGAACGGAGACAGUAGUAAUAUUGUCUUAGUGGCGAACGGGUGAGUAACGCGUUGGCAACCUGCCCCGAAGUGUGGGAUAACGGUCCGAAAGGGCCACUAAUACCGCAUGUGAUCCUAAGGAAUAGAUACUUGGGAUGAAAGGAGUAAUUCGCUUCGGGAGGGACCUGCGUCCCAUCAGCUAGUUGGUAGGGUAACGGCCUACCAAGGCGAUGACGGGUAGGGGACCUGAGAGGGUGGCCCCCCACAAUGGAACUGAAACACGGUCCAUACACCUACGGGUGGCAGCAGUAGGGAAUAUUGGUUAAUGUGCGAAAGCGCGAACCAGCAACGCCGCGUGUGCGAUGAAGGCCUUCGGGUCGUAAGCACUUUUUGCAGGGACGAGGAAGGACGGUACCUGCAGAAUAAGUCUCGGCUAACUACGUGCCAGCAGCCGCGGUAAAACGUAGGAGACGAGCGUUAUCCGGAUUUACUGGGCGUAAAGCGCGUGCAGGCGGCAUGGCAAGUUGGAUGUGAAAGCUCCUGGCUUAACUGGGAGAGGUCGUUCAAUACUGCCAAGCUUGAGAGUGGUAGAGGGAAGCGGAAUUCCGGGUGUAGUGGUGAAAUGCGUAGAUAUCCGGAGGAACACCAGUGGCGAAAGCGGCUUCCUGGCCCAUUUCUGACGCUCAGACGCGAAAGCUAGGGUAGCAAACGGGAUUAGAGACCCCGGUAGUCCUAGCCGUAAACGAUGUGAACUUGGCGUUGGUGGGUUCAAAUCCAUCAGUGCCGAAGCUAACGCGAUAAGUUCACCGCCUGGGGACUACGGCCGCAAGGUUAAAACUCAAAGGAAUUGACGG
rnacentral:rRNA from 1 species